CCUACGGGUGGCUGCAGUGAGGAAUAUUGGUCAAUGGGCGGAAGCCUGAACCAGCCAAGUAGCGUGCGGGAUGAAGGCCCUACGGGUCGUAAACCGCUUUUGCACGGGGAUAACACCCUCCACUUGUGGCGGUCUGCAGGUACCGUGCGAAUACGGGCGGGUUAAUUCCGUGCCAGCAGCCGCGGUAAUACGGAAGGACCGAGCGUUAUGCGGAUUUAUUGGGCUUAACGGGGGCGUAGGCGGGCGUUCAAGUCAGCUGUAAAAUCGCGCGGCUCAACCGCGCCCCGCAGUUGAAACUGGACGCCUUGAGUACACGACAGGCAGGCGGAAUUCGUGGUGUAGCGGUGAAAUGCAUAGAGAUCACGAGGAAUCCCGAUUGCGAAGGCAGCCUGCCGGGGUGCGACUGACGCUGAGGCUCGAAGGUGCGGGUAUCAAACAGGAUUAGAUACCCCUGUAGUC
rnacentral:rRNA from 1 species